UUAACCCAGAGAAGACCAACGGCUAAAUUACGUGCCCAGCAAGCCGCGGUAAUACGUAGAUGGCAAGCGUUGUCCGGAAAUAUUGGGCGUAAAGGCGCGACGCAGGUGGUUUAUUAAGUCUGAUGUGAAAAGCCCACGGGCUCAACCGUGGAGGGUCAAUUGAAAACUGGGGAACUUGAGUGCAGAAGAGGAAAAGUGGAAUUCCAAGUGUAGCGGUGAAAUGCGUAGAUAUUUGGAGGAACACCAGUGGCGAAAGGCGACUUUCUGGUCUGUAACUGACACUGAGGCGCGAAAGCGUGGGGAGCAAACAGGAUUAGAUACCCUGGUAGUCCACGCCGUAAACGAUGAGUGCUAAGUGUUAGAGGGUUUCCGCCCUUUAGUGCUGCAGCUAACGCAUUAAGCACUCCGCCUGGGGAGUACGGUCGCAAGACUGAAACUCAAAGGAAUUGACGGGGGCCCGCACAAGCGGUGGAGCAUGUGGUUUAAUCAGAAGCAACGCGAAGAACCUUACCAGGUCUUGACAUCCUCUGACAACCCUAGAGAUAGGGCUUUCCCCUUCGGGGGACAGAGUGACAGGUGGUGCAUGGUUGUCGUCAGCUCGUGUCGUGAGAUGUUGGGUUAAGUCCCGCAACGAGCGCAACCCUUGAUCUUAGUUGCCAGCAUUCAGUUGGGCACUCUAAGAUGACUGCCGGUGACAAACCGGAGGAAGGUGGGGAUGACGUCAAAUCAUCAUGCCCCUUAUGACCUGGGGUACACACGUGCUACAAUGGACGGUACAAAGGGCAGCGAGACCGCGAGGUUUAGCCAAUCCCAUAAAACCGUUCUCAGUUCGGAUUGCAGGGUGCAACUCGCCUGCAUGAAGCUGGAAUCGAUAGUAGUCGCGGAUCAGCAGCCGCGGAAUUUCCGGGGGAGGUUA
rnacentral:rRNA from 1 species